rnacentral:misc_RNA from 1 species
CUUACGGCCAUCAACAGUCGACCAAGAGGAGGUGAAGCGGGCGGUUCGUUGGGCAGCGCUUCGACCCAAAAUUGGUUGGUUGAAUCAAAAAAGGACGACGCAGAUUGUAUUUCCUCCUCGACUUGUGGCGGACAGUGUCUUACACGCGUGAAAAGCGACCCGGCCGAAAGAGAGAGAGAGAAUUCACGCCAGCAGACAUUUUCUAUUUCAGCGCCACCAGUUAUGGGAGUGUAAAAGAAGUUUGACAUCAUCUGCUGGCCGUUGCGCGAAGAUUUGCUUGUUUGGUCUAUUCAUUCACAAGGUGAGGAGCAAAGACCCUGCGAAUACAAGAAGAAGAAGAAGAAGAGGCUGCUGCUGGUGUACAGUGGGCGGAGUGGGAGGUGAAUCGUAGAUAGGUAUAGGAAACCUAACCUGCCCAGUUGUUGUUUUGUGUGUCUUCGUUUGGUCUAACCCGACACACAACGGAGAAACAUCAUCCUCUUCUCUCUCGCUCUUCUCGCAUUGGCGGCGAUGAAAUGACUUCACCUUGGACAGCGGCUGUACGAUAACGCGUCGUGUGUGUGUGUGUGUGUUUCUUUGACUGGGCGGAUGAUUCAACCCGCGUCCCGAUAAAGACCGGCUGGCCGUUUUGUCUCUUUCACGCAAAAGUGGCGCGCUCCUUGUUGUACCUCAUUCGAUCGAAAAAAGAGAAGACUUCAAGUUCAAUGUCAUCAUCUCAUCGGCUGGUUAUUGUCCUGUGAACGGACCCCCCCACACCAAAAAAAAAGACGAGGAAAACUCGCAGGUGUCGUGGCCGUGUGAAUCCAUCGGUGCGCCGCCCUUAUCGAUCCGCGAUAUUAUUGAGAGGGGGGAAAACUUAGAAAAUCUCCUCGGCUUUUAUUUUCGGUGUGUGUGAAAAAUGAACAUUCCUCCAGCAGUAGUUGAACAUUCCCAUCGAGUGUUGGCUGACGUGACUCGACCAGCAGCGCGGUGGCGUGUUCACGGUGUCCGGCUGGGUUAGCAGCGGUCGGCCUUCCGACUAGCAACUACUUGGAUCGUGAAAAUUUUAAAAAUAAAAAAACAAAGUGUUUCCCUCCAAACGAAAUUAACCAAAAAAAAAGUAAUAAAAAACUUUUAAGUGAAGUGAACUGAAAAAUGCAUUUGAUCGAGUCGACAAAGACGUCGGCGGCAACAUCCGGCAGUUGCCCGGAAGCCCCGGCUACUGGCGGCGAAGGCCAACCGAAAAGGCAGCAGCCUCACCUGUUGCCUGGCGUUUCGUCGGCUGGCCGGAAUCAUAAAAAUUCCCGUCCGUGGGAUUACGACACGGAGGAUAGUGGCGUGGACAGCGUGAGCAGUUUGGCCGGCCUGGAAGCCGACAACAGUGCUGGCCAUCCGACGACGACAGUGUCCAACCAGAAGACGAGUAGCGUCGAGUACUCGGCUGUGAUAGUCAACAACAACAACAAAGUGAACAACGCAACUGUUGCUGCUGCUGACGCCGUGAGCAAACAGCAACCGGUCCAGCAAAGAAAAUCCUUCCUGCACACGUCCGUCUACGGCGGCGUCCAGCGAUCAUCUCCUCCGGACUCCGGCACCAGCAAAAACUUGUUCCGGAAGAAUGUGACCAACAAAGUUGUUUCGAAAAAAGGACACGGUGUCGUCAACCAGGAGUUGCAGAGUGACGGGCGAGCCCUGGACUCGGCCAAGAACCACUUUCUGCACAGUUUGCUGGACGAUGAGGUCAGCAAGGCCGUCCGAUCGUCCGGAGGAGAAGACGUGCUGCUGGAAUCUGAAUCCGCUUCAUCAACGUCGGCCGCUUUAGAUUUGCUGCCCGAGCUGGUCCAGCUGCUGGACGCCAACCGGGUGAUGGACGGCGGUUUGAUUGAGCUGAUCGGGCGAGACGGGACGAGGGCCAGUCUCCGUGUGACCUUGGCCAGUCAGUCCACCACCUCCGCCUCGGCCGUGAUGACCUCACGCAAAAACAGUUUCAAUACGCGUCUGCACCGCAACUCGAAACGCUCAUCUCAACGUCGUUGCCACAAACCACCUGCAGAAGUUGUUGUUGUUGCAGAAACAGCAACAACAGCAACAACUGCCAACAACAAGACGGCAUCCGCUCCGUCCAACAACAACUUGUCCAGCGGCGGCGGCGGUAGUGCGGGUAGUUUUAUUACCGGCCAGCGGCCCCGCAGCGUCCGUCGGCGACCUUCGUUAUCAUCGUCUUUCCAUAAAAAAGUUGUGCCCGGCUUCAGUGUCUCGAUGGCCAUACCCCCCAGCAAAGUGGCCAUUUUGGCCUCCAAAUUCAAUUCGCUCAUCAACGAGAGUCGACGGAGUAGCGCCGCCGCAGCCGCCAACGCCAACAACAAUAACAACAACAACAACACCUUACACCCUGGCCCGGAUGCUGAUGAUAAGAAAUUAUCAACAAAUGACCGGCCGGUGCUGGAAUCGACGAUCCCGGCACUUCCUAUCUCAUCGACUUGGUCGUGGCGUUUAGUCGGGCCGACAGCCAGCGAGUCGCUCGCAGUUUCCAGCACUAAGCGCAACAACAACAACAACAACUUGGCGUCAAGCGUCGGCAGGUCCCGACCGAUUGAUACCAUUCCCGAAUUAAUUGAUCCGCCACCGGAACAACCGAUCCAGCCAGCCAAAUCCACUCACGCCGACUACGGGAAACCGAGACGAAAGAGUCACGAUCUCUCUCAACCUUACGGCGGACGGAGUCAUCCGGUGGCCAGGCCGCUGCCUUCCGAUCCGGCGGGAUCGCUGAAAAAUCGUGAAAGUGUCUACGGCACGGUGAUGAGCAUCGUCAAACAGGCCAUCCGCAAAUUCGAGAAACUGGAAGACGGAAAGACGCCGAUCGCUGGGGUGGAGUCGAGCAACAAUGACAACAACAAUCCAUCGGCUUCGAUGACGCCAAUGUCCGUCGAUGGAGCCACGUCUUCCUGCUACUACUACCAGGAGCCGGCGGCCGUGAUUCCGGAAGGCAUUGAGCCCAACAAUUCCUUUUUGUGGCGGGAUCAAAAGAGUAUGCAGAAUCUGAUCUACGAGGCGACCAGUUUCAGCGAACGGACGGCCACGUCACUCACAACGGGCAGGGGGGGUCUCCAUCCGGACGCGUGCAACUAUUACGAGAUGGGCAGCAGCAAAUACGACACGCUCCGGUCACGCCGAUCCAACGCCUACGACACUUUGCACCACCGGAAUCAAAGCAAAUCGUCGUCGUCGUCUUCAUCCAGCGGCUACGACGAAAUCCGGUCGCCUGACAGUUUGACGUCGAAUCCGUCGGAUCCGGCGACUUCCGUCAAGUACGACGACAUCAAACUGACGCCCAAUUGCGUUGUGACUUACGACGAACUGUCGUACCUGACCGGGCGGAGGCAAUCCAACGGCUACGACGAACUGAUGCGAUCGCCUCUGUCCACAACGUCUUCCGGCGGAUACAUCGAUCCGGGAAGCAGCUCGGCUUUGGGAUACGAAAGGAUCUUGCCGCCGGAAGAUCAGAGACGUCAUCACGCAACUGCCGAGCAGACGGAUGCAGACGAAGACGGAAGUACCUUACGAUACGAAGAAUGCGGAUCACCUUCCGGCGUCAUCCAGUCGUCUUCUUCUCCCAUCACCGUCACAGCUCUUCCGGCCAUUGUAUGCGAAGAUCAGCUGGACAGUAUCAGCUACCUGUACGACGACAUCCGCACGGUGGGCAGGGGCGACGGAGGAGGAGGCUACGGCGGAUGUUACGGCGGAUCGAAUCACUCGUACGAACCCAUUUACGCUCACCUGGGCGAAGGGACCAGUAAAAUGGAAUCGUCCAACUCGACUUGUUCGUUAUCUUCUACCUCGGUGGCCGGACCAAACGACAAAUCCAGCGACACUCUCUCGGACUCAUCAGAGGAGGGCGUGCAUGAAGUUUGUUCCUACAAAUUAACCCAGCUGGGCAAUGGUGCGGUACCGGAUUCGCCUGCGCCCAGUUUGGCCGGAACCUCAACGUCAACACGAACGGGAGCCGAGCGACGGAGCGAAACGAGCGACGAAUGGAUCGACAUUAGCGAUCCGGAUGAGCCGGCCUGGACUGUAACGCGCAUUCGACAAAGGCACGAAGUGACCAACGCUUCCUUCGUUCGAAGAGGACAUCGUGCCAGCCGUCGUAAACUGUCCAUCCCGAAGGCGAGUGGCCAGCAAUCGUGGUCUCAAACGAUGCGUACCCUAGUCAAGAAUGGAUUCAACAAGGCGACUACCCUUUCAAAGCGAUCCGGUAAAGACAUCCAGCGCCAACAAGAACAACGGAACAACGACGUCAAAUCUUCAUCGGCCAGCAACCCAUCGGCGGCGGCGUCGGUGGCAUCCAAAGCGGCCAUUUAUUCCGACGCUGGGCCUGGGACUGCUGCUGGUGCUGCUGUUAUUCAGUUGACCAAGUCAUCGGCCAGGCGGCUACCUUCGGCCGAAACGGAAGCCAGCGGAACGGGUAGCAGCCAAACGUGGGAGGACUACGGUGAGAGCGAUGGAGACGAUCUAGUCGACGACCAUCACUACGAGGCCCUUUACGAAGUGAUUAAUCCGCGGUUGCAAUCCAGCAGCGGAGCCGCAGCGACGCAUUUGGAUCACAAUGACGACAGUUUUGACGACUCGUUUGAUUCGGACGAUGCCUUUGAAGAGGUCGUCGUACGAGGACUGGAUGCGAUAUCCGAUACGUCGAGAGAGCGGCCUGGAUCGAGAUCGGGUUCGGAGCGCUCGAAAGAAAGUGAGGAUCCAUCACUACGAUCGAGUCAAGUGAAAAUCGGUCGGUUCGCCGAUUUGGCCGGCGAACAAAUGCGCCGAUUGCGUCGCAAUUGGACCACGACCAAGACGGACAUUGGCAAAUCCAUCACGCGCAUCAAGAAGAAGAGCACGGCCAGUGUGGCCGAUUUGAGCGAAGUUUUUAAACCCUCGGCGUCGGCGUCGAGACGUGAAGUUUCUCCGGAGAAGAGCCCCAACGGCCAGAAAGAAUUGCCUUCGCCAUCACCUCCGUCUCCUCCUCCUCAAGAGAUCCGGCCCAGCAGUCACGUCGAAGUUCAAAAGAAGAAAGGCACUUGGGCAAUGCGCCAAAUCCGCCGGCGGAUGACUGUCGUGUCGUCACCGAAUUACGGCGCUGGCAACAAAGAAAAAGCCUCGACUUUCUACCUGACGUUGACCAUCGAAAAGCCCGCACAAGUCAAUGCCAAUGGCAAGAGUCCGGCAGUCAGUGAAACGUCCAGUCCGGAACCCGUUUCCACGCCCAGUCCCGUGCCACCUUUAAUUAGUCCAGCAGAUUCUUCCAAAGUGCCCGUUCGUCCAAAGAGGAUAUCAUCCGCCUAUGCUCUUGGAUCGCAAUACCAAUCGACCGUUCGACCCAAAACGGCCCCACCUGCUCCACCUGUCAAAUCGCCGUCCCAGCAGCAACAAGCGGCGGCCGAAUCGGCAAUGGCCGCUUCGCCACCUCCAUUGGCCAGCAUUCCGGCUAAAAAGCCGCUCUCCCGGCUCCCGACGGCCUUCAGUGAGAGCCGAAUAGCCGCCGAACGGUCCGUCUUGAUGGACGAAUAUCAGUCGAUGCAUUACAGCGACAUUGCGUUCGUUACGCCCGGCCAGAAACACAACGGCCCACCUCCAUCAUUGAGCACACCCUACAGUCGACUGUCGAUGGCCAGCGUGACUUCCUCCCGCCAUUCGAACGAAACUUACAUGGGCGUGGGCGAUUUGGCGUCGGCUCCCGAACGUUCCACCGUGCCAGACGAUGUCCGCAAUUACUUGGAUCUCCAAUCGCCAAUCGAGACGGAAGAAUUGUACAUUAGCAGCCAUUUUGCGGACGAGCCGCUCUACCAAUUCUACACGGCUGCCAUCAUCGAGCGGGCCACGCAGAAUCAAGGCGACGGGAGCGAAGAGGACGACUACGAGGUGAUUGGUGAACACCGUCGCAAAGAAGAAGAAGAAUUCCAGUCUGAUUAUAACAAAGGGAAUAACGCCAAAUUACCAACAGCCAUGGAACUGGUGAUGCCAUCGAGUGGUCGCAGGACAUUGUGGUGCGAAUUACCGCAGGUCAUCAACAGCGGCCUCUUAGAAACCAUUUCUCCGCAGCAGCGCAAACUCCAAGAGGCCAAAUUCGAGUUGAUCACUUCAGAGGCGUCGUACCUGCGCUCGCUGAACGUGUUGACGACGCACUUUAUUCAGAGCCGUGAAUUCGCCGGUGAUGCCAACAGCGAGGCGUUGCUGUCACGGCUGGAACGCCACACCCUUUUCUCCGACAUUGUCCCGGUGCGCGAGUGCUCGGAGGCUCUUCUGGCCGACCUGGAACAACGUUGGCAAGAGAACGUCUUCAUCCGCGAAAUCUGCGACAUCCUCCUGGAACACGCGGCCAAACAUUUCGAAGUUUACAUCAAGUACUGCACCAAUCAGCUCUACCAAGAGCGAAUGCUCAGAGACCUCAAGGAGACCAAGCCGCAGUUUGUGGAUUGUCUGCGUCGAUUGGAGUCGAGUCCCGUUUGCCAAUCAUUGGCCAUGCACAGUUUCCUGAUGUUGCCGAUGCAGCGCAUCACUCGACUGCCGCUCUUGGUCGAUGCCAUUUUUCAUCGGCUGGAGAGCGGCACGCCCGAAUUCGAACGCUGCCGUAUGACUCUGGCCACUCUGAACAAGAUAGUGCAAGAGUGCAACGAGGGGGCCCGCAAGGCCGAGCGGAUUCACGAAAUGCUGGUGGUGUCCAAUCAGUUGGAUUUCGCCGACGUCAAGGCCAUUUCGGUCAUGUCCGCUUCGCGAUGGUUGGUCAAGAAAGGCGAGAUGCAGCGUCUCAUGUGGCGUGACAUUGACGCCCGGCUCACGUUCGGACGCAAAAUUCAUAAGCAGACCGUCUACGUCUUUCUCUUUACCGACCUCUUGGUCAUCACCAAAAAGAAAGGGGAGGAUUCUUAUGCUGUUCUCGACUAUUGCCCUCGCAAUAUGGUUCAAGUGGAUGAGCACAUCCGCACGGAAAAACCAAUUGGUAAACCAGGAUCCGAGUUGGGAAAGAAUUUGAUCCUUUUGACGAUGCUUCAAAACCACGAAAAUAAAACUCUGGAAAUGAUCCUUUCUUGCUCGUCGGAAUCUGAUCGAACUCGAUGGCUGGAAGCCGUUACUCCGCGAACGUCUGAUAAUCCGGAAGAAAAGAUUUACGAGGAAUGGGAUUGUCCUCAAGUCCAGGCCAUACAUCCUUACGUUGCCACUCAGCCGGAUGAGUUGUCCCUGGAAGUGGCUGACGUCGUCAACGUUCUCCGUAAAAUGGCCGAUGAUGAGGAGGAUGAUGGCUCAUGUCAAGCUGAUGAAAUGACUGCGCUUUGAGAUGAUGGGUUAUGUAUAACACACGCUGCUGGGUGUAUAACCCGUUAAUAACUUAGGCUGGUAUCAAGGCGAGCGGAUGCGAGAUGAUCAGCGCGGCUGGUUCCCGGGCAACUACACUGUGGAAAUCGCGUCGUCUCACGUCCGAGCGCGCAAUCUACGUCAACGUUACCGCCUUCUCGCCUUGUCGGGCA